GAGUGGCGAACGGGUGAGUAAUACAUAAGUAACCUGCCCUAGACAGGGGGAUAACAGCUGGAAACGGCUGCUAAUACCGCAUAAGCGCACAGAGCUGCAUGGCUCGGUGUGAAAAACUCCGGUGGUAUGGGAUGGGCCCGCGUCUGAUUAGGCAGUUGGCGGGGUAACGGCCCACCAAACCGACGAUCAGUAGCCGGCCUGAGAGGGCGACCGGCCACAUUGGGACUGAGACACGGCCCAAACUCCUACGGGAGGCAGCAGUGGGGAAUAUUGCACAAUGGGGGAAGCCCUGAUGCAGCGACGCCGCGUGAGUGAUGAAGUAUUUCGGUAUGUAAAACUCUAUCAGCAGGGAAGAUAAUGACGGUACCUGACUAAGAAGCACCGGCUAAAUACGUGCCAGCAGCCGCGGUAAUACGUAUGGUGCAAGCGUUAUCCGGAUUUACUGGGUGUAAAGGGUGCGUAGGUGGUAUGGCAAGUCAGAAGUGAAAGGCUGGGGCUCAACCCCGGGACUGCUUUUGAAACUGUCAAACUAGAGUACAGGAGAGGAAAGCGGAAUUCCUAGUGUAGCGGUGAAAUGCGUAGAUAUUAGGAGGAACACCGGUGGCGAAAGCGGCUCUCUGGCCUGUAACUGACACUGAGGCUCGAAAGCGUGGGGAGCAAACAGGAUUAGAUACCCUGGUAGUCCACGCCGUAAACGAUGAGUGCUAGAUGUAGGGAGCUAUAAGUUCUCUGUAUCGCAGCUAACGCAAUAAGCACUCCGCCUGGGGAGUACGACCGCAAGGUUGAAACUCAAAGGAAUUGACGGGGGCCCGCACAAGCGGUGGAGCAUGUGGUUUAAUUCGAAGCAACGCGAAGAACCUUACCAGGUCUUGACAUACUCGUGCUAUUCCUAGAGAUAGGAAGUUCCUUCGGGACACGGGAUACAGGUGGUGCAUGGUUGUCGUCAGCUCGUGUCGUGAGAUGUUGGGUUAAGUCCCGCAACGAGCGCAACCCUUGCUAUUAGUUGCUACGCAAGAGCACUCUAAUAGGACUGCCGUUGACAAAACGGAGGAAGGUGGGGACGACGUCAAAUCAUCAUGCCCCUUAUGACCUGGGCUACACACGUACUACAAUGGAUGUUAACAGAGGGAAGCAAGACAGCGAUGUGGAGCAAACCCCUAAAAACAUUCUCAGUUCAGAUUGCAGGCUGCAACCCGCCUGCAUGAAGAUGGAAUUGCUAGUAAUCGCGGAUCAGCAUGCCGCGGUGAAUACAUUCCCGGGCCUUGUACUCACCGCCCGUCA
rnacentral:rRNA from 1 species